AUGUAGAGCAAUCUCUGUCUAAGUAGGGGUAAAUUACUCUAAAAAACAGAAGAAAAAAAAUUCCUAGAUAGUUUUCCCUUCAAGUAAAGCGUCUUGU
rnacentral:pre_miRNA from 1 species